rnacentral:rRNA from 1 species
UACGGAGGGUGCAAACGUUAUCCGGAAUCACUGGGCGUAAAGCGCGUGUAGGUGGUUUUGUAAGUGGACGAUUAAAUACCGAUGCUUAACAUCGGGACUGUUGUCUAUACUGCAAGACUUGAGAAUGGUAGGGGCAGGCGGAACUUUGGGUGUAGGGGUGAAAUCCGUAGAUAUCCAAAGGAACACCAAUGGCGAAGGCAGCUUGCUGGACCAUUUCUGACACUGAGACGCGAAAGCGUGGGGAGCAAACGGG